rnacentral:rRNA from 1 species
AUUGAACGCUGGCGGCAGGCCUAACACAUGCAAGUCGAACGGUAACAGGAAGAAGCUUGCUUCUUUGCUGACGAGUGGCGGACGGGUGAGUAAUGUCUGGGAAACUGCCUGAUGGAGGGGGAUAACUACUGGAAACGGUAGCUAAUACCGCAUAACGUCGCAAGACCAAAAAGGGGGACCUUCGGGCCUCUUGCCAUCGGAUGUGCCCAGAUGGGAUUAGCUAGUAGGUGGGGUAACGGCUCACCUAGGCGACGAUCCCUAGCUGGUCUGAGAGGUUGACCAGCCACACUGGAACUGAGACACGGUCCAGACUCCUACGGGAGGCAGCAGUGGGGAAUAUUGCACAAUGGGCGCAAGCCUGAUGCAGCCAUGCCGCGUGUAUGAAGAAGGCCUUCGGGUUGUAAAGUACUUUCAGCGGGGAGGAAGGGAGUAAAGUUAAUACCUUUGCUCAUUGACGUUACCCGCAGAAGAAGCACCGGCUAACUCCGUG